UUCCUACGGGGGGCUGCAGUGGGGAAUCUUGCGCAAUGGGCGAAAGCCUGACGCAGCAACGCCGCGUGAGCGAAGAAGGCCUUCGGGUUGUAAAGCUCUGUCAGGAGGGACGAAGCCACUCGGGUGAAUAGCCCAGAGGGUGACGGUACCUCCAGAGGAAGCCCCGGCUAACUACGUGCCAGCAGCCGCGGUAAUACGUAGGGGGCGAGCGUUGUCCGGAAUCAUUGGGCGUAAAGCGCGUGUAGGCGGCUUGGCAAGUCCGGUGUGAAAGCUCGAGGCUCAACCUCGAGUCUGCACUGGAAACUGCCUUGCUAGAGUCCGGAAGAGGAGACUGGAAUUCCUGGUGUAGCGGUGAAAUGCGCAGAUAUCAGGAAGAACACCGGUGGCGAAGGCGGGUCUCUGGGACGGUACUGACGCUGAGACGCGAAAGCGUGGGGAGCAAACAGGAUUAGAUACCCCAGUAGUCUU
rnacentral:rRNA from 1 species